UGGAGUUCCACAAUGAAGAUCACACUGUGGAGCAUCACCGUGACCAUCGCGCUCCUGAUGGAGGUCCGUGCUGACGUCCAGCCGCAGAAGAACUUUGACCUGAAGAGGUUCGCAGGUCGGUGGUACCGUGUGGGCUUGGCGUAUAACUCCCCCGGCUUCACUCGGCACAGGAACAAGCUGACCAUCUGCAUGGGUGUAGUGGAGCCCAAGGAGAACGGAGAUGUCCAGAUGACCGUGUGGAAAAGCAAGUUGUCCAUCUGCCAGAAAGAAGUCUACAAAUAUGAGAAGACGUCUGUACCUGGCGUGUUCACCUACUUUAGCACACGACACAGCCGGGUGAAGGACAUCACUGUGGUGGAGACCAACUACAGCGAGUUUGCUGUGAUUUAUAAACACAAGAAGUUCAACAGGGAAUUCACUCAGGUGUCUCUGUACAGUGAGUCGAUCAGACACAUGUCCUACUCUCACGUGUCUCCUCCACACGUCCCUACUCUCACGUGUCUCCUCCACACGUCCCUACUCUCACGUGUCUCCUCCACAUGUCCUACUCUCACGUGUCUCCUCCACAUGUCCUACUCUCACAUGUCUCCUCCACAUGUCCUACUCUCACGUGUCUCCUCCACACGUCCCUACUCUCACGUGUCUCCUCCACACGUCCCUACUCUCACGUGUCUCCUCCACACGUCCCUACUCUCACGUGUCUCCUCCACACGUCCCUACUCUAGCAUGCGUGUCUCCUCCACACGUCCCUACUCUCACGUGUCUCCUCCACACGUCCCUACUCUCACGUGUCUCCUCCACACGUCCCUACUCUCACGUGUCUCCUCCACACGUCCCUAAUCUAACAUGCGUGUCUCCUCCACACGUCCCUACUCUCACGUGUCUCCUCCACACGUCCCUACUCUAUAACACACGUCUCUUCCACACGUCCCUACUCUAACACACGUCUCCUCCACACGUCCCUACUCUAUAACACACGUCUCUUCCACAUGUCUCUACUCUAACACACGUCUCCUCCACACGUCCCUACUCUAUAACACACGUCUCUUCCACACGUCCCUACUCUAACACACGUCUCCUCCACACGUCCCUACUCUAUAACACACGUCUCUUCCACAUGUCUCUACUCUAACACACGUCUCCUCCACACGUCCCUACUCUAUAACACACGUCUCUUCCACACGUCCCUACUCUAACACACGUCUCCUCCACACGUCCCUACUCUAUAACACACGUCUCUUCCACACGUCCCUACUCUAACACACGUCUCCUCCACACGUCCCUACUCUAUAACACACGUCUCUUCCACACGUCCCUACUCUAACACACGUCUCCUCCACACGUCCCUACUCUAUAACACACGUCUCUUCCACACGUCCCUACUCUAACACACGUCUCCUCCACACGUCCCUACUCUAACACACGUUCCUAUAACACAAGUGUGUUAUUGUACUUUUACUCGCUUGCUGUCUCUGGUUUGUGUUUCAGGUCGUAGUCAGAGGUUGAGACCAGAAGUGAUUGAGAAGUUUAAAAAAUACGCCAUGCAGCAUGGCUUCCCUGAAGAGUCCAUUAUAAUUCCACCACCAGCCGAUAACUGUCCCCUCACACGCCACUGAUGUGGUGUUGGAUCACAGCACAUCAUGAGUGAGAUGAAGCUCAGCCUGAAUGUUCUCUACAGAGAUGGAGCAGGACAACAGGAUCUCAAUCAGCUGUUAAUGUUAAUAAAGUUCAGCUGUCUGUGACUCUGAGUCUGUAAGCUGAGACGCUGCAGGUACUUCACAUGCUGGGACUUAUUAUAAAUCCGUUCAUUUAAUAAAAUGUAAGCAGUUUGGUCUUUAUGAUGAAUAAAUGUUUUGACAGCAGAUUUAUUACUGUAGUUUAAGACAAAAUGUUUAUAGAUUUGUAGUGGAACAAAAAAACAAUAAGAAAAACUGUUUACCUGAAAUGUUACUUUUACCUGUAGACUGAGUUCUUCAGAUUCUGAUCUAAAUAUACAAAAAAAUAAAAAAUGUGUCCAGUCU